CAUAGGCCCAGCAAACCAAUCUGGCAAAUUUCAAUGUGCAAACAUGAAAAAGGGAAAGCCCUACAUUUGACAGCUGUAAGUUUGCAAAAACCCAUAAAACCUGUACAUUGGGAGCACUGCUGUACUCAGGAGAUGUUGCUGAACACAUAUUGGGGUGUUCUUUGUCAGUAACACAUAACAGGAACUGAGAAUCCAUGCCUAAAGUACAAUGUGAG